rnacentral:lncRNA from 1 species
GGCCAGGGUGUUACAUUGGGUGGGCGUUCUAUGUUCUUUUUUCUAGGUUGGUUUGUUUCGUUGAUUUUGGCCGUGCCAGGGUGUUACAUUGGGUGGGCGUUCUAUGUUCUUUUUUCUAGGUUGGUUUGUUUCGUUGAUUUUGGCCGUGUGGCUUCCAAUCAGGCACAGCUGUAGUUUGUUGUUGCUACUUGGGAGUCACACAUAAGUAGCCUGUUUUUUCCUUUGGGGUUUGUGGGGGAUUGUUUUCUAUUUCUGUCUAGUGCUUUCUGUUGAGAGUUUUUCCUGACAGGACUGUUUUGCUGUCUUUGGUUUAUUUUUGUAUAGUGUUCUCCUUUUUUCAUUAAAUAUCAAGAUGAACCCACAUUCUCCGCUGCACCUUGGUUUUAUUACUACGACAGCCGUUACAAUUAGCCUAAUCGAGUUGUAGAUUACAUCUCACAUUCCAGUGUUCAAACUUGUAAACAGGGCUGCAUGAGAUUUCUGUUGAUGCAACUCAGUGCAGCCAAUGGCAAUGUUGGCUUUAGGUAUAAUGCCAGGAGCCGCUUGUGGAUUUCACAGCUCUAACACAAUCCCACCUCAGACACCGCCAAAACAACCGCUAUGUGGAUGUCGGCUAAAGCGGACGUGAUUGAAUAGAGCCCCAAGUGAGGGAGAGUGUGCAUGUGUGUAUACAUGCAUGUGAUAAUGACCUGUAUCACCUGUCGCUGCAGCAGAUGGAGGGGCAGAUGACUGCAGCUGUGAGGUUGUAAUUGGGUUGUCAGAUCUAAAAGAGAGAGGCACAAUUUUACAAUGAAUGAUGCAACAAAACAGAGUGAGCGAUUGAGUGAGUGUGUUUACAUGUGUGUGAUCAUUUUUUGGACCACAUCACACUGCUUCAGGUCUACAAGCCUCUGGAAGUUCCAGCGUGCCACUCCAGGCCUGGAACAGUUUGGUGGAAACACCCACCAAGUCUGGUUGUCAGGUCUGAAAGAUAGGUACAAUAAUAUUUGUAUGGAAAAGCCUAGACUACACAUUAAACUAAAUUAAGUGUGUGCUUGUGUAUAUCGGGCAACCACAAAGCAGACUUCAUUUCCCCAACUACUCAUUGUACUUGCCCUUGCAAUCUGUGGUGUGUGUGUUCUGUGUUAUUGACUCAGAAGUGUGUCAACCUGACCACAUCCUUGUAGUAGGACAUUAAGUGAUUAGCUAUUAACAGUGUACAGUAAAAAGGAUAUAAAAUAUUCAGAUAUGGAUUGACAAGUAGGCUAAAUCAGUUACAAAACCUCUAGGGCAGGAGUGUGUAAACUUUUUG